AGAAAUCCUGGCUGACAUUGACUUCUCCACUGCAACCAUCGAGUUCAUUGUCUCCUAAACCUUGCCAUGGAGGCCUGUGGCACCUGAGCCAGCCAUUAUCAUCACCAGCACUUCCAUGAGCUACAAGCUGGACCCACUGCAGUCCUCCUGACACACUGAAAUCAGAGCCUGCACACAGAGCAGCAGAUGCUUCAAUGUAAAGGUCAUUUCCAGGUCCUUGACAGGCGUGCAUCUGGGCCAGAUCCAUGGCAAUAACCUUCAGGUUGAGGCUAGAGGGCUUCAGAUGGGCAGCUUCGAAUGACAGGAGCAAGGCACAAGAGGCCGGAAAGGGAGGGUGACAUUUUCAGCAUCUAUAAGAUCAACUUUAGAAACAUUUGGGGGUUGACAAAUUCCCAUCAAGCUCUGUGGAUCUUGUACAACUGCUCACCACCGGCUUCUCAUCAGCACAUGAUUGGUGCAGGGUUCUGAGGAUGAUUUUGAGAUGUUCCCUGAUGUGGUCUUGUGAGGAGAUUUCAUGACAGAUGGCAGGAAGCUUCGUGGAGAGAUUUCUGAAGACACUCCUGAGCUCCCAACACCGGGCAACUCUCUUCCAGAGGAUAGUGGGGUGGAGGGUAGAAGAGAGGCAAAGUCAGGAGAAGGGAAAAUGUUACAUUGUCAAAGUCCCAAAGCCUUUCAGCCUGAAGCCAGGAACAAUUGUUCAAAGUUUCUUUGGAACAUCAAGGAAGGAAAUCCAGAUUUUACUUUAAGUGCAAUGGGGAGUCAUUAAGGAUUUUGUGUAGAUACAGCAAAAAGACAACAAUCUUCAAGCCACAAUGGCCCUCACCAGAACCCAGCCAUGUGGUCAGCCUGAUCUCGGACUUCACAGCCAGCAGA
rnacentral:lncRNA from 10 species